UACGUAGGGUGCAAGCGUUGUCCGGAAUUAUUGGCGUAAAGAGCUCGUAGGCGGUCUGUCACGUCGGCUGUGAAAUCCCGAGGCUCAACCUCGGGUCUGCAGUCGAUACGGGCAAACUAGAGUAUUGCAGGGGAGACUGGAAUUCCUGGUGUAGCGGUGAAAUGCGCAGAUAUCAGGAGGAACACCGGUGGCGAAGGCGGGUCUCUGGGCAAUAACUGACGCUGAGGAGCGAAAAGCGUGGGGAGCGAACAGG
rnacentral:rRNA from 1 species